AUAGGGUUUUCCCUCAGGGGAACACCCUGAUCUGUAAUUGCCAGGUGGUUGUUGAAAAGAUUUCUGCAGUCACAGCCUGAUAUUUUUUUUUCCCCCCUGUACUGUUUGCAGGUGGAAAUAAUCUCCUUAGGGGCAUCAGUCCAGGGUAUUUACUCAUCUUUGGGACAAGCCUGAAUCCUCAGGGCAUAUCCCUUGCCUGGUUUCUUCAGAAAUUACCUGGGAAUAGGAAAAGGAGCGAAAGUGUCUCUUACAGGAAGAAGAGGGAAAAGGAAGGAUUUGGAGCGUGCAGGAGCUGCCUCCCUACCUGAGCCACGUCCUGCCACCAUCUGCCCAGUGGAUGCGCCAGAUAAAAGGGCCAAAAUUCUCUGCACUUCUUGGGACAUCUGUUGACAUGCAUGGAGAUUCUGUGAGAAGGAUUGGAACAGACUUCCCAGGGAAGGAGCAGAGUCACCAUCCCUGGAUGUGCUCAAAAGCCGUGUGGAUGUGACAUUUGGGGACAUGGGUUCGUGUUGGACUCCACGAUUUCAAAGGUCUUUUCCACCCUUAAUAGUUCACAGGUUCUAUAAUUUUACGUCCACGCUCUGGGGUAGGGCUGCACACCCCAUGGGCUGUCUGGUGUGUCUGUGACCUUCAGCCACCUUGUCCCACCUCCACGGAGCCUCGGUGGCCACAGGGGAUGCCCAGGGACAGCCCUGCUGCUCCCAGGGGCCGGUGCCAGCACGGGCAGGCUGGAGGGAGGAGAUCCGUGCUGGCUGUCCUUGGGGACAGCAGGUGAAGGCAUCUCUGGAACUGAAAUAACACCUCAAGGGCCACUGUCAGAAGGUGGAUCCUCAUGGUGUAUUUCAUUCCCCAAUCCCUUUUACCUCCUUUACACCAGCAUUCCAAGCCUCUGUCUCCCAGGGUUCCUCCUCCUCUCCCCUCCCAAGCUUCCCCUCCAACACCCUUUUUCCUCUGAAACACCCUCGGCUGUGGGACUGAGAUAAGGGUGCAGGCUUGAAAAGGAUGCAGAUGUUCUUCCUCCAUCCUACCUUCCACCUGCCUCCAGGACCCCCUGCUCCAGCCCCUCUGGAGGGCUGCAUCCAUGCCUCAGAAACCUCUGCUUGAGUAAAGAGCUGCUUGCUGGCUCAUGAUCCGGUUUCUUUUUCCUCAGAAUCCCAAACACUCAAAUAUUUGCCUUUCCCUGCAGCAUCUCUUUGUACAGACGAGGGUGAGGGGGAGCAGAGAAUGGUCUCAGCUCGUCCAGCCCAUCUGUCCCCUGCAUCACUGUGGAUCUCUUUAAAAGAAAGGAUAUAAUUAAAGAAAUAAAAAAGAAUAGCUGUGCUGGCCUUGUCCUGCUGUUGAGCCGUGUUCCUGGAUAUUUCUCUGCUCCAUGUAGUGCUCAUCCUGCACUGGCUGUAUCCCAGGAAAUCCCUCUUGGCUGAUGUGGGGUUUGGAGCUCCACAGACAUGCAAACUCCAAGCCUGAAGCAGGCAGGAACAGAUUUUGGUAAGGCUGAUGAGGGUUGGAGACCCCACUGCCCAAAGCUCUUCUGGGCACUACAUUGCUUUUUAUUCCUGGAUUUCCCAUAGUGGCUCUUGAGUUACUCCUCCAAUUCCUCUGCUGCAACAUCCAGAGCUGGUAAGGAGCCAGUCUGGGCUUAAAACCCACAAAACUGGGCUUAGGAGCCCUCUGAACCUUUUAAAACCACAGCAGAAUCUCCCAACACCAUCACUUCUGUGGGCAGCUGCUUUGCACUCCGAGGUUGUGGAGUUUGGGUGCCAAACCCCAAAAACCAGAGAUUUGGAUCACCCUGCACAAAUCCAUGGUUCUCCACCCAGGUUCUGCAGGAUGAGGGGCAGCAUCCCAAGAGCCUUUACUGGCCCAUCAGCUGGGAUAAUCCCCGUCAUGGCAAAGACCAAGCACGCUCAGGAUUUCAGUGGGAAGGGAUCCUGCCUCUUCAGGAUCUCAUUUUGGAGGAUCUCAUCUUCAGCCUGGGCCCCACUUUUAAGCUUCUGACAUCCAUGUGAGGUUUUCCCGAAUGAGAUUCAAUUCCUGUGGAUAGAUCAACCCUGCGUGGAUCUCUCUCAUCCCUUCCUUGAAUCUCCACAGUCCCUGGGGAAGAUGCAGCUCUCCAGGAACUAAGAGGUUUUUAAGGUUUUUUCUCAAAUCCAGACAGGGAGAUGAGCUGUUUGAGCCAGGAGCAGCCAUUCCCCACCACAGCACCAUGGAUUCAUCCCUGGAACGAGGUUCUCAGUGCUCCCAGUGCUUCCCAAAGGAUGCCUGAGCUGUGGGGCUGAGAAGUGGGAAGGACCAGAGCCACUCUGGUUUUUGAAACAGCAGCAUCAUUUCCAAGGCCAGCAGCUUCCAGACCAAGUUAAAAACAGCCCCAGGUGAAUCCCCUGCUCCUCCUCCUUCUCCUCCAGCAUUCCCAGUUCCCUUUUACCCCAGCAAGGGAGCCCUGAACAGGCAUUUUGCUCUGAAGAGUGAAGGGAGGCAGGGAAGGGGGGUUGCAACCCCCAACAAAACUGGGUUAAUUCAGCAUGGAAAGGUUUUUGUCUCCCCAUUUCUCCUCUGUCAGGGAAAGAGAGUGUUCCUUCCCCUCUCCAUUGGUACUCCGAGCUGAUUUGCUGCAGUGGGAGCUGCAUAGCUGCCAGCCGGGCUGGGAAGCACAUUUGUGUGGUGAUGCAGUCAGAAAUUCGGGUCUCCAAAUCAAUUACUGACCUUCUGCUGCUCCAGAAAUUGCUCAGGAUGGAUUUGCAUGCUGGGUAUGGGGAGAGGGAGAGGCUCAGCUUCGUUUUCUGCUUCUCUGCUUCUCCAGCUGCCUCACAGGCAGAGCUGUGGUUUAUUUUUUGGAUCUGAUUAAUUGCGCCUUGUAGAAUUUUCCCGCUUGUCCUGAUUUCCUUUCUCCUGGUAUCACUUUGGAUUGCUGAUGCACAGGCUGCUGUUGGUGUGUUUGGGUUUUUUUUUCCUAUGACACUUAAGAUUGAUGCUGAUUGUGUAUCCUGCUGUCACCCAGCCCCUCUUCCCCCCAAACAACUCUGGAAUCUCCUCAUCCCGGCCAGAUUCCAAGGACGAGUGAACCUCAGAGAUGUCACAUUCCCACAAAUGUUCCUCAAGUGCUUUUCCAUCAGUGCACUUAUCCAGAGGAGACUGAG